rnacentral:lncRNA from 10 species
UGGAGAUGCACUGACCUUCCUUGCAAGAGCCUUUCCCUGAAGUUGGGCUCCUGAGAGAAGUUCUGAACAUGGCUAUCCCUGCCUUUUCAUCUUGUCAGCAGGUUGAUUUGAUAAUCUGCAUGAUUUGAACAUCCUAAUUUGGUCUGUGAGCCUCUGUUCCAUGACAGAACAGCUUGCCUGGUACUUGGAGAUUCCCAUCUUGUUGAGGUAAUUUCCCACGACAACCUCCUUCAAGUCUUUGCUUAAAUGUCAUCUUCUCAAUGAGGCUGAUGCUGAAUGCCCUGCUUAAAAAUGGCAGUUUUCCACUGUCAGCCCUCUUAGCCCACUGUGUUAUUUUUCCUUUUUCAAAUUAUUUUCCAACAUAUAUAAUUUACUUGUGUA